rnacentral:lncRNA from 1 species
AUGAGCAGGUGGUGCUCGCCUGCGGGGGGCCCAGGCGUCCGGGGGGGAGGGGCCCAGGCGUCCGGGAAAGGGCCCAGGUGUCCGGGAAGGGCCCAGGCGUCCGGGAAGGACCCAGGCGUCCGGGAGGGGCCCAGGCAUCCGGGAAGGGCCCAGGCGUCCGGGAGGGGCCCAGGCGUCCGAGGGACCCAGGCGUCCGGGAAGGGCCCAGGUGUCCGGGAGGGGCCCAGGUGUCCGGGAAGGGGCCCAGGUGUCCGGGAAAGGGGCCCAGGUGUCCGGGAAGGGGCCCAGGCGUCCGGGAGGGGCCCAGGCGUCCGGCUCACCAGCGAACGAGAGGUGCCGCAGCCGGGCGUUGGCUCGAGCCUCCUGCACCUUCUCCACGACGAUGCGCCAGGCCCCUGCGCGCGCGGGCGUCACGCGUGUCAGCCCGGGUCACCCGCCGCGUCACCCCGCGUCACCCAUCGCAUGUCACCCAUCGCGUGUCACUCCAGGUCCCCCCGCGCCACCCAGCCCUUGUCACCCUCUGUCACCCAACCUGUGUCACCC